CGGAGGUCCUGCACUGAAAAAAAUUUCGUAUGUUACAGUAACUCGAAAAAUUCAGUCAAACAGGUAACGUUAAAAAAAACUGUCUGGAUAUUGUUGGAAUUACGAAAAACGAGGUACGCGUAACCAUUUUGCGCUGUUGUCGAUCUUUUUUUUGGUAAUUGCAACGCAAAAUCAGUU